AAUUCAUUGCUGAGGACAUUUCCUCAACAUUUCCUUAUUACAUUCCAAUGCAUUGUAUAAGGAGUCGUAUUCUAAUUGGCAGAAAGAGGAAAUGCCACUUCUGAGUUU